CCGCAUCUCUGACAGCCCUGGAGCAGUUCAUGUCUGCUACUAAGGUUUCCACUAAAGAAGCAAGAUAAAUAAGUCCUCGCACUUCCUGUCUGUUUGUGGCAGCGAAGAUUGAAAGGGGAAAUACAUGA
rnacentral:snoRNA from 1 species